CGCGCCGUAAACUCUGAGCGCUAGAUGCGGGGGGUAUCGACUCCUUCCGUAUCGCAGUUAACGCAUUAAGCGCUCCGCCUGGGGAGUACGGCCGCAAGGUUAAAACUCAAAGGAAUUGACGGGGGCCCGCACAAGCGGUGGAGUAUGUGGUUUAAUUCGAUGAUACGCGAGAAACCUUACCUGGAUUUGACAUGUCCGGAAUCUUUUGGAGACAAGAGAGUGCCUGCUUGCAGGAGCCGGAGCACAGGUGG
rnacentral:rRNA from 1 species